GGGCUGUUAGUUUAACGGUAGAACAGUGGUCUCCAAAACCAUUAAUGGGGGUUCGAUUCCUUCACGGCUCGCCA
rnacentral:tRNA from 1 species